rnacentral:lncRNA from 11 species
UUUCCUAUGCUUCCUAAGUCAUUUGGUAACUGACAUGUUUUUCGAUUCCCCACCUAGAGAUGUGUAAAAUCACCUAAUUUACCAUGUAAUGGGAAUUCCGCCUUGCCUGCUUGUAAAGAUAAUGACGAUGUCAUCAUGGAUGGAAAAGCCAAGAUGGGCAUUACUGAUUCCUUUCUUCCGCCAUUACCGUUUUGGGACCAAGGAGGAAGUCUCAAUUCCCUCGUAAGGAUGCCAGUUGGGCUUUUCACUCUGCUAUUAUUACAUUGGAUCUCAUUCUUUGUCUCUUAACAAGUUUUGCUAGACCAGGAGAGCAGGAGGAUGCUGUUUCAUUUUGUUCAGCCAGAGCCCCUUCUGUAGACAUCUGGAAGGCCAUUGCAGCUGAACUAGCUAAACAUGAACUAGCUAAGCCUUUGAUCUGGUACAUCAUGGCUUUUCUGGUGUUCUUUUGUCUCCAAUAUGAUUGUGUUACCACAUGCCUUUGAUUUUCAUUUUUAAAUCUAUAUGGCAGAUAUGUAUAUGUCCUUUCAUCCAAUAGAUUCCAAGACAAUAAACAGAAAAUAUAUCCCAAAUCAUUUUUUAAAACCCCGAAAUAUUAACAAUAAAAUUGGAACAUAAAAGUACUACAGCCUAAGACAUUUCUCGAAUUAAAAUGUCUGAGAAAAUUAAAAUAUAUAAUAUAGGUUGUCAGGUGUCACCACCAUUCUUCAGAAUAGCCAUUUAAUAAUCAAAGCACCACCACAGAAAACCUGCUUCCUUUCUUUGUUCUAUAGCCCAUGUCUGAUUAGAAAGAUGCUGAGUUUUAGCAGGUGAUCACUACUCUCAUUUGGGAAACGAGACUCUUUCAGACAUUUUCCAAGUGAUAAUUUGGAAAGGAUCAGGAAAAAAUAUAUAUUUGUUUUGGUAGCUUUAGAUGGCCAAAAAAGUAACUCUAGCUCAAAUAAUGGUCUCAUUUUCUUUAGAUGCAGAUAUUUUUCAGGGGAUGUGAAUUCUAAUUGACAACUCCAUUCAUACGGAAACAUAUGAUGGAAAAUGGUGACAACAUGUUUGAAUUUAUUUGUUUUGCUGCAAAGCAAGCAAUGUAUAACUCAUUCUUUAAAUGUAGGAGUGAUAACUGUCUCCAUUAACACAUCAUCAGAUGCUUUUUUCUCUCCUUAUGGCUGAU